GAUGAACGCUGGCGGCGUGCCUAAUACAUGCAAGUCGAGCGAACAGACGAGGAGCUUGCUCCUCUGACGUUAGCGGCGGACGGGUGAGUAACACGUGGAUAACCUACCUAUAAGACUGGGAUAACUUCGGGAAACCGGAGCUAAUACCGGAUAAUAUAUUGAACCGCAUGGUUCAAUAGUGAAAGACGGUUUUGCUGUCACUUAUAGAUGGAUCCGCGCCGCAUUAGCUAGUUGGUAAGGUAACGGCUUACCAAGGCGACGAUGCGUAGCCGACCUGAGAGGGGGUGGGCCAACAUGGGAACGGAACCCGGCACAAGCCCCCGAGGGGGGGAAGAAGAGGGGAUCCUUCCGGAGAGGCGGAAAGCCUAACGGAACAACCCGGGGUGGGUAAGAAAGGUCUUCGAAUCUAAAAACUUUUUUAUGGGGGAAAAAAAAAUGUGAAAAAAAUAAGGCCCGUCUGGAGGGUACCUAAUAAGAAAGCCACGCCUAACACGGUC
rnacentral:rRNA from 1 species